rnacentral:rRNA from 1 species
UUCGCCCUUAGAGUUUGAUCCUGGCUCAGAGCGAACGCUGGCGGCAGGCUUAACACAUGCAAGUCGAACGCAUCCUUCGGGAUGAGUGGCAGACGGGUGAGUAACACGUGGGAACGUGCCCUCCGGUCUGGGAUAACCCUGGGAAACUAGGGCUAAUACCGGAUACGUGCUUUGGCAGAAAGGUUUACUGCCGGAGGAUCGGCCCGCGUCUGAUUAGCUAGUUGGUGGGGUAAUGGCCUACCAAGGCGACGACGGGUAGCCGGCCUGAGAGGGUGUCCGGCCACACUGGGACUGAGAUACGGCCCAGACUCCUACGGGAGGCAGCAGAAGGG